GGAGUUUGCCGGUGGACGCCCGCAAGGUGGUAACAAAACACCGGCUAAGCCUGUAGAGCCUCGGAGACCCGGCGUCUCCGGACGCGGGUUCGAUUCCCGCCGCCUCCACUG
rnacentral:tmRNA from 1 species